AAGGAGCACUUCUAGGCCGCUUAGCGGUCCAGAGGCCAGUACAUCAGCGAAUGUCUGAUGCUGGUUGCUCAUGGGUGGAACGUUGAUUAUUCGGCACACUUGACCUUCUGGUCUUCCUAGUACUGCUUCGGCGUGGAACGGAACGGCUGGGUGGCGAGGGUGUCGGGCACGCUGUUGGGUAUCUGAGGGAGCGAUUAACCCCUCAGUUGCCGGCCCCGGUAAAGAUCCGCUUCGGUGGGUUGUGACGGGUGGCUGGUCGUUG
rnacentral:misc_RNA from 1 species